GUAAGUAGAGAUCAUGACAGUUUGUCCUAGAGGAUAGUUAGCAUUAUUUUUCUCCCUAACAGGUUAUAGUUUAUCUGAUUUUGAUAAGCAUCUUACUUUGGUUGAAGCUAAGUCCUGGAAGUCCUGACAGUUCCAGUGCCCUGGGCACGACUACACCUACAGCCGGAACUGCAGUUCCUAGGAUACCACAGGAUUCCCCAAAGGAGAUAAUCGAGAUCCUCCCCAAAUCACCCACAAAAGACUCCAAGCUAUUGACUGUUCUAAAAGGAUCACCAGCCAGGGAUAAUCUCAUUGCGGAUUCUCCUACUCCCGCAACUAACGUCGAGCAAGCAACCUUCGAUUGUUAUUCGCUUUACGGCGAUGACUGUUUCCUUUUACCAGAUUCUAUUGGACCCAGACUCAGUGCCAAGCUGUUGAAAAUUCUAGCGAAGACCUAGUCCUAG
rnacentral:lncRNA from 1 species